GUGGAGACAGCCAACCGGGCUGAGGAGGUUCCAGGCGAAGGGCCCGAGGAAGCCCGCGGGACGGGCGCCUCGGCCGCCUCAUCUGGGCCUACCGGCCCUGCAGUGCAUGCUGGGGGUUGUAGUUGAGUGAGGUUGCACUGUGCAGGGGCGUGGGAGGCCAGUCCUGUUGCGCAGUGACUGGAAAGCACUGGAGCCUCUACAUCAUCCUCGCUAUCACUGCAAUUCGUUCUGCCACUACUUCGGCUAAAUGUUCACUCUUAACCCUAGAUAGAUAGCCCCAAGCCUUCUAUUUCUCUGUCAUGGAAACAAACAAGAAGAAUCUGCUAUGACCAAGAGCUGUGGAAACAGUGACCUUUGGAAGGUGGCAUAAUAGUGUGAUCAGUGCCUCCCUGACACCUGGACAGCUCCAUCUACUUCAAAUGAGGCCACAAAGUCUAUCCUUCAAGGCCUAGGACAGUAUGCAGGAACUAAGGUCCAGCUAUUCGCAUUGGCUGCAGAAGGCAUCAUUACAUGAGUAAAGAAGGUUGGGGAACUGCUUUGGAGAAAUCCUUUUAUACACUGUGAAGAUGUGUUGCUGUGGUUGGUUUAAUAACGAAGCUGACUGGCCAAUAGCCGAACAGGAUAAAGUUAGGCAGGAGAGCCAAAUUGAGAAUGCUGGGAAGGAGAAGGGCAGAGUCAGGAGUCGCCAGCCAGACACAGAGGGAGCAGGAGAUGAAUGUGCUAUGCUAAUAAUGGUACUGCCAUGUGGCAGAGCAUAAUUAAGGAAUACGGAUUAGCAACAUGUAAGCGUUAGUGAUAAGCCUGAGCUAUUGGUCAAGCAUUUACAAUUAAUAUGUCUCUAUGUGGUAAUUCGGAAGUGGCUCAAGGGAUGGGAAAACUCUGCUUACAGGGAACUAGAACUAGCUCAGUGGUUGAGCACUGCCUGGCAUGCUUGAAGCCCUGUCACAAGGGGACCUGGGGAGGGAGGAGAAGAACAAAAAACAUAAAAGAGAGUGAGUGAGAGGAAGCCACUUUCAUAAUAUCAAACCACUCUAAUAAUGGCAAUACUACCAAUCUUGAUGGUUCAGAUUCUCAACACUGUUGUGUUAAGGACACAGUCAAACCACAAAAAGGUAUUCAUAUGCUUCUCAGCAUUGACAUAUUCUGCAGGGCAGGUAUCCAAACUCUGUACCACCUAGAGAAUUCUUUCAAGGACAUUUUUUUUCUCUUUUUGGUUUCUCAAGACAGGCUUUCUCAGUAACUAUGGAGCCAGGCCUGGAACUCACUCUGUAGACCAGGCUGGCCUCGAACUCACAGAGAUCUGCCUGCCUCUGCCUCCCGAGUGCUGGGAUAAAGGCGUGCACCACUACUGCCCAGCUCCAAGGACAACUAUUUUAUCCAUUUUAAAUUCUCUGCAUCUACACAUUUUGUGUGUGCAUAUAUGUGUGUAAACACCAUUCAUGUGCAUGUACGUACAUGUCAUGUGUGUGUUCAAGUAUAUGGAAGGCAGAGGUUGACGUCUAAUAUCUUCUUCAAUUACCCUCUACUAUUUUUAGGACAGGGUCUCUCACUGAACUAAAGGUCACCAGUUCAGCUAGAUUGGCUGCCAGCAAGCCUCAGAGAUCUUCCCGUCUCUGCCUCCCAGUGCUGAGAUUACAGGUGUGUACCACUGCACUUGACUUUGCUGUGGGUGAAUGAACAUAGGCCCACAUGAGAUGUGCUAGUUAUGUGAGAAUCAUUUUUUUUUCUUUGGUUUUUCGAGACAGGGUUUCUCUGUGGCUUUGGAGCCUGUCCUGGAACUAGCUCUGUAGACCAGGCUGGUCUCGAACUCACAGAGAUCCACCUGCCUCUGCCUCCCGAGCAUCAUUUUUAUCCAAUGAUCCUGUAAGAAAUGCUGGUGGGAACAUGAGCUAAAUAAUUCUGGGCAAACCCAAAGUGUUUCCCAACUGAGCAACUGCCCUAUCCCCUCUAGUACAUCCUUAUGCUGGGAUUCUCCUUGUCCUUUGUCCCUGCCUCUGGUUCCCAAAUGCUUGGAUUACAGGUGUGCACAUCUGGUUAUUGGACUGACUCUUAAGGAAUUUUUCUCAUGCUGUGGAUAUUAAUUUUACUUCAUUUGACCUAGCAGUGGCCACGCAGAUCAGUAUCUAGAAAUGAGCAUUGCAGUCUGUUCUGAUAGAGGACUUGGCUAUUUAGUGGCUAUUCCUUCUGCCUGGUUUUCCUAAUCUACUUUCUAUCUCUAAGGAUUUGCCUGUACUGGAUGUUCUAGAUAAAUGGAAUCAUAUAACUAGAAUCUUUUGUGUCUUCUCUCACUUACCAUAAUGUUUUCAAGUUUCAUGCAUGCCAAAACAUAUGUUAUUAUUUAACUACUUUUUAAUUACAAAGACUAUGUCAUUAUAUAAACAUAGCACCAUAUACCAUGCAUAAAAUGAAUAUACUGUUCUGCUUUCUGGCUAAAUACUAUAAACAUUCAUAUAAUUUGUAUUAUUAUUUUCUUGCUUUCAUUUUAGUUUUGAGACAGGGCUGGCUGGCGCUUGUGGCAGUCACCCUCUCUCAGCUUUACAAGUGCUGGGAUUAUAGGUGUGAGCUACAAUGUCCCAGCUCUGUUUUUUGGAUUUUGUGUUUGUUUUUGAGACAGGUUUUCACUCUGUAUUUUGGCUGGCUUUAAACUUGCUAAGUAACCCAGGUGGGCCUUGAACUUAUGAUCCUCCUGCUUCUGCCUCCUGAAUACUUGGAUUAAAGACAUACACCACCAUACUUGACCCAUGUAGAAAUUUUCAUAUGGACAUUUGUUAUAGUUUGUAGUGGGAUUUCUGAGCAAUGGGGCAACUCUGUGUUUAACUGCAGAGGAACUACCAGGCCUCUCCAAAGUAGCUGUAGCAUUUUGCAUUCCCACUGGCAGUGUAUGAUAGUUUUGUUUUCUCCACAGUCAUGGACAACACUUGUCUCACUUCUGAGACAGGUGUGUUCCUGGGUUUCACUGGCCAGUUAGUCUACCUUGGCAUGUCUCAAGCUAAAGGGAAAUCUUGUCGUUCUGUGUCCUUCAAAAGGUGGAUGGCGCCAGAAGUUGUUCUCUGGUUUCUACAUGUACAGACACACAUGCACCAUCACAAACACUAACAUGUAUACAAUACACUCAAAAAGCAAAUAACAGGGCAGGGAAUAUAGCAAUGACAGAGCACUUGCCUUAACACUGCAAGAGGUUCUGGGUUCCAUCCCCAGUACUGAGAAAAUAAUACAACAAAGUAGAAGGGAAUCUACUGAUACUAUUUCAAUCUUGAACAUAAUAGAGAAAUACAGAUUAAAAACAAAACAGAAGUUGAGGUCCAAAAAGGGAAGAAAACAGGAUUGAUGAGAGAGAGAGAGAACAUAAUUAUUACUAUAAAGGAUGAUAUAAAAAUAAGAUCAAACCUAGAAGGUACUACAAAAUUAUGAAUAUGUCAAUUCUCCUAUUAAAAGAAAACUCUUAGCCUCAAAGGGCAAAAGCUAUUUUAAGAAAUGUACUUAAAUUUAAAAAAUAUUAUUAUUAUUUUUAUUUUAUAUGUAUGAGUGUUUAUCUGCCUGUAUGUCUGUGCACCAUGUCCAUGCCUAAUACCCCUGGUGGCCAGAAGAGGGCAUCAGAUUCUCUGGAACUAGAGUUCUGGACAGUUGGGUGCUGAGAACAGAAUCCAGGUCCUCUGGAAUUGCAGCCUGUGCUAGCACAGCCAUGUCUCCAACUCUGGAAAAUACACUUUAUACAAAAGCAUAUACUAUAGCAGACAAACCCAAGUUUUUCCCUUAAGCAAUAACAACUCAU